CGUAGGUAUCUGCCUCAAGGAGGGGGAUAACACCGGGAAACUGGUGCUAAUACCCCAUAUGUCUUUCGAGAUGAAAGCUCCGGCGCCUUGAGAUGAGCCUGCGGCUGAUUAGCUAGUUGGUGGGGUAAAUGCCUACCAAGGCGACGAUCAGUAGCUGGUCUGAGAGGAUGAUCAGCCACAAUGGAACUGAGACACGGUCCAUACUCCUACGGGAGGCAGCAGUAGGGAAUUUUGCGCAAUGGGCGAAAGCCUGACGCAGCAACACCGCGUGUGGGAUGAAGCUUUUCGGAGUGUAAACCACUGUCAGUGGGGACGAAUAAAUGACGGUACCCACAGAGGAAGCAUCGGCUAACUACGUGCCAGCAGCCGCAGUAAGACGUAGGAUGCAAGCGUUGUCCGGAAUUAUUGGGCGUAAAGCGUUCGUAGGCGGCAUGCCAAGUCUGAUGUCAAAGCCCGGAGCUCAACUCCGGUUCGGCAUUGGAUACUGGCAAGCUAGAGUGCAGGAGAGGCAAGGGGAAUUCCUAGUGUAGCGGUGAAAUGCGUAGAUAUUAGGAGGAACACCAGUGGCGUAAGCGCCUUGCUGGACUGUAACUGACGCUGAGGGACGAAAGCCAGGGGAGCAAAUGGGAUUAGAUACCCCAGUAGUCCUGUCCGUAAACGAUGGAUACUAGGUGUCGCGGGUAUCGACCCCUGCGGUGCUGCAGCUAACGCAAUAAGUAUCCCGCCUGGGGAGUACGCACGCAAGUGUGAAACUCAAAGGAAUUGACGGGGAUCCGCUCAAGCGGUGGAACAUGUGGUUUAAUUGGAAGCAACGCGAAGAACCUUACCAGGGCUUGACAUCCCGAGAACUUUCCAGAGAUGGAUUGGUGCCCUUCGGGGAACUCGGUGACAGGUGGUGCACGGUUGUCGUCAGCUCGUGUCGUGAGAUGUUGGGUUAAGUC
rnacentral:rRNA from 1 species